rnacentral:rRNA from 1 species
UGACCAGCGGAGGGUCAUUACCGAGUUUACAACUCCCAAACCCCUGUGAACAUACCAUAUUGUUGCCUCGGCGGUGCCUGUUUCGGCAGCCCGCCAGAGGACCCAAACCCUAGAUUACAUUAAAGCAUUUUCUGAGUCAAUGAUUAAAUCAAUCAAAACUUUCAACAACGGAUCUCUUGGUUCUGGCAUCGAUGAAGAACGCAGCGAAAUGCGAUAAGUAAUGUGAAUUGCAGAAUUCAGUGAAUCAUCGAAUCUUUGAACGCACAUUGCGCCCGCCAGUAUUCUGGCGGGCAUGCCUGUCCGAGCGUCAUUUCAACCCUCAAGCCCCCGGGCUUGGUGUUGGAGAUCGGCGAGCCCCCCGGGGCGCGCCGUCUCCCAAAUAUAGUGGCGGUCCCGCUGUAGCUUCCUCUGCGUAGUAGCACACCUCGCACUGGGAAACAGCGUGGCCACGCCGUAAAACCCCCCACUUCUGAAAGGUUGACCUCGGAUCAGGUAGGAAUACCCGCUGAACUUAAGCAUA